GAUCAUUUCAUGACCCAGAGUAUAUUUAUGUUAAUAUAACGACUCUAACGACAAAUUUAAUCCAGAUAAGAUCACUGUCAGUUAAAAAAAUCCUUGGCAAGCCCAACUCAUAUUGUAACACCACAGGAUGAAAUCUGAUGCUGGGACUGGUUACAUUCUCCAUCCUGGUUUGCCUGGUCACACAGCGACAUUAACUUUAUUGAGCUGAUGUUGAGAAUCCAUCAGCUUGAGACUCAUGUGAAGGUGCUUCAGAGGGCCAGCAAAGAAGAGAACCCUGUAGCUCCACCUAUGCCCCGCAUGGCUAUGAAGAGGAAAAAGAAGUUUCGUCCCAUUGACUUCAACAAGUACGUACACCAUGUAGCCCUGACGAUCAUGUACCUCGGCCAUGACUACACAGGAUAUGCUGGCACAGAGGAAGUGGAACACACUAAGUGAACUGUUCCAGGCCCUUAUAAAGUGCAAGCUUAUUGAGUCCAAGUACUGGUUGUCUCUCUUGAUGUACGCGGCAACUUGCUGUCGGGGGUCGGGGUGAAGGUGAGAGAAGGGAUGACAGCGCAUGAAAGACCUGGUUCAGCUGCAGGAGAAGAACGUACAAGUAUUUCUUCCCUAAAGGAGACCUAAAUAUACUGCUCAUGGAAGAAGCCGGCAAAAAAUUGAUUGGUGAAUAUGACUUCCGCAACUUCAGCAAGUUCAAUGUUAAAGAUGGCAUUACCAACUAUGUUCGAAAAAUCAUGGAGGUUGAAGUCAAGACUCUAGAUGAGACCGAUGACGGAUUCACAAUGUGCGAACUCACGAUCGUCGGGAGGGCGUUCCUGUGGCAUCAGAUUCGCUGCAUCUUCUCUGUGCUGUUCCUUGUUGGCAAAGGGAAAGAAUCGGUUGAAAAUGCCAUGAAGACAACCUCACCUCCCUCCAGCAGCUUUGGGCUGAGCAUUCCGUCAAAGCAACAAUGGUGAAGAGCAUGCUGAAUGACCUCGAGAAAGCUAAAGUGGAAACAGACUGUGACAUUGCGCCCUGGUGUGAUCUGAGUCCCCCUUUACUGAUGCAGACUGAAUGGCUCGUAGAAGACAGGAAUCCUAAGGUGCUGAUGGAGAGACAGGGAGGCUUGACCCUUGACGAGAUGAUAGCAUCACACGAGUCAAAAAAACAGCGAUGGAGAGAAAAUGCUGAAAUUGAAGCGCAGGACGAUAACAGUGAAGAGGAGAUGACGUCACGGAAACGUCAACGGCUUGAAAUUGAUAAGCCUAGCCACAUAGAUGAUAAGCCAUUUAGAACAUUAGAUAAACCCAAGUCCGGAGAGAAUAAGGAUCCUCACAUAAUUUAUGGAGAAAACAAUAAAGAAGAUGAUGACACUGUAAGGAACAUUGAUGGAGAAACUACUAGUAUGCAGGCUGAUCAAGAUAUAUGCGGUUCUAAAACCUCUCUUAAAGAUAAUGGGGAGGAAAACUUUCCUUUGAUAAUUGUCAUGAGAAAUUCUCAGUCCAAGGCCCAAUGAUUAAUUUGAAAAAUAAGACGUUAAUCAGGAUUUUGUUGUAGAAUACAUUGAAAUUUAUUUGCAAGGAUUAAUGCUAUUGAGAAUUUUGAAACAUGGAUAUAAUGGAAUCGUGUUGAAAUACAAACUGAUUAAGAAAAGUUAUUUCAUUUUUAAAUUUACUGUACAUCAGGUUACGAUACUGACCAAUUUGACGGAGAAUAUCUCACGACAAACACAGAGGUUAAUAAUGACACAUAUUACUCGAUGAUUUAUACUGCAAUAAGACAUGGACUCAAGCUGCUCAAGGUAAAGGAAAGGCAAAGUGUUAGAGAAGAACCUGGAUGAAGACUUUUACCAGUUGUAUGGUAGAAGGGUGAUAUUUGGUGAUCAUUACUUUAAUGUCAAGGCAAGUUGUUGGAAUUAGAGAGGAGAGCGUAGUGGAGAAGGUCAAGGUUAAUGGUGUUUAUGACACUGAGGUCAAUGUAUAGAGAAAGGGACAUUGAAAAGGUCAUGGCCUUAGAUGAAAAACAAGGUCAAUGUUGUUCAUCACUGUAAGGUCAAGGUCUGUUAUUCAAGUCAGAGUGGAGAGAAGGUCAUGGCUUCAGUGAAAAAAAAAACAAGAUCAAGGGUUUUUAUUACGCUUAAGGUCAAGGCUAGAAUUUCAUGUUAGAGAGGAGAGAAUAGUUGAAAAGGUCAAGGCUGUGGAAAAAAGAAACCAAACAAACAAGGUUUUUAUCAGUGGAGGUGUAUAUAAUGGGUGCUAUAUGUUUGAUGUUCAUUACCCUAUGUGUGUACGGUCAAGGCCAGUAGUUUGCUUUUAACCAUGUGAGCCACUGCAGUUGGACCAAAAUCAAAUGAAUUGAACUGAUAUUCAUCAUUAAUCUGUCACAUAGAAUUGAGUAAAGCAUGUUUACCUUGUUUUCUUGUACUCUAGAUAUCUGGAGUUAUUGAGCAUAUGUCAGGCUUUUUUGUGUUUGUGGUAAUUUUGACCACUAUUUUGGUUAAGUGCUUUCUGUGUGUAUUGGUUGCUGUUGAUUGCCUUAUUCUAGAGAGGCACUUUUUUUCAGAUUUGUUAGUUCUGGUCAAUUCUACAAGGCCAUUAUUUAAAUUUUCGAAAGCACUGAUAAAUUGAUUAAUUCGCUAGGUUUUAUAUUUGUGGUUUGCUGUUGCAUGAAAACUAAACCCUCCCAAAAUGCAACAUCAUUGAGGGUUGCUUGCAGAAAAAGAAAUAAAUCCGUUUGGUCUGCUGGAACUUACAACAGCCGUGCUGGAGGUCUUCAAUAUGUUUUUUUUUAUCAUGAUCAUGAACUUUGUAAUUUAUUUUUUUUUGAAAUAUGUAAAAUGUGUGUUUACACAUCGUCUUCUGUUUUAUUGGUUUGUUAACUUAAUUUAUAUUUUAUGUUAUGUUGCCAUGGUAAUGGGACCAUUGUUUACAUUGUAUACUUCCAUUGUUGUUGAAAAAGCAUUACAGAGGUGAUGUUGUUAUUUGUUAAUUAUCCAAAUUUUAAGAUGUUGACUCAGAAAAUGCACAUUAUAAGGAAUUUACCAAAAAAAACAUUAUCGUCAAAUAAAUGAAGACUUGGGAGGAAGAUAUAGGGAUGGUUGCGUUUGUGGAAACAAACAUUAUUAGAAUAAAUUAAGCCUCAAAAGGAAGACUUGUUUAUAAAUUAACAUCGAGAUAACUUCUUUUUAAAUUUAUAUUGAUGAACCAUUAUAUUAUUUUUGAUGGAUUGCAUUUUUGAAUAUCACCAUAAUAAUGCUAAAUGAUAAAGUAUAAUAAAAGGAGAUAUCAUAAGAAAACAUUAAAAAGAGACAACAAAGCAAUUGUAUUAAUUAGUUUCUGAAAUAUUAUAAUGUUUACACAAAUGUUUAUACAAAAAGUUUUCGAUGAAAACAUAAAAUUUCUUUAACAUAACAUUUUGUAAGUUUAAACUACAUGUAACCUUUUGUUGCAUUUAUGUUGGAUGGAUUACCUUAAUAAACUUUGUAUGUAACAUCUUGUUGAUUACUGAAUCUAUAUUAUACGUUUUGAAACAGAUUUUAAGGUAACAUGUGCCAAACAUCACAGAUAUCCUUGUAUGCAUGAUACUAUUGCUUUGAGAAAUCAUUAAAUUCAAACAUUGCGGAAUGUUGUUACAAUUUAUAAAAUUCAGCAAUCUACACUUUUCCAAAAAGUUCAACCUUAUGUCAUGGACAAAGGUUGACCGGCUUAGUGUUUGAGAUUAUAUUUUGUCUAUUUGCCAAGCCGCUGGUUAAACCUACUGAUUCACAUGAUUUAAAUCAAUAAUAAUCAAACUAAAUGUAUGGCAGAUUUGAGGAAUAAUAUCAUCCCAUUGGACAAAAUAUAAUUUCAAACACUAAUUGUUUAUUGUUACUUUAACAUCAGUUAUAAAUAGAUAUUAUAUGCUGUGCGAUGUGAAACUUACGGUAUUUACUCAAUGUGCUUUUUUUAGAGAGGUACUUUUAUAUGAUGUUUUAGAUAUUUGUAGAAGUAUUUUAUGGAUAAAAAUUAACUCACAGAAUUGUUGUUUGAGAUUUUUCAGAAAUUACCAUAUUCAAUUAUUGGUAUUUAUAGUCUAGUCAUAUAGUUUACUGUCUGUAUUGUUUGAUUGUUGGAUAUGGUGUUAUGUACAUAUUUACAUGUUUUAAUAUUUUAAAAAGAUUGUCAAACAGAAAAGCAAAGUUAUUUAGUAGAAAUGUUACAGUUUCAAUAAGAUGUUUAAAAUAUAUAAGUCUGGUGAAGUGUGUUUUUUACAGAGUUUUAAAAUUUAUCCUAGCACUGUUAACUGUAUUGAUUGAUAUUUUUAGGAUUUAAAACAUUCUGGUCCGUUUCCUUGGAUACGUCUUGUGUUUGUCAGUAACCGAUUUGAUAUUGAAUAAAACAUCAAAAUAUU